rnacentral:rRNA from 1 species
AUUGAACGCUGGCGGCAUGCCUUACACAUGCAAGUCGAACGGCAGCGCGGGGCAACCUGGCGGCGAGUGGCGAACGGGUGAGUAAUAUAUCGGAACAUACCCUAGAGUGGGGGAUAACGUAGCGAAAGUUACGCUAAUACCGCAUACGCACUAAGGUGGAAAGUGGGGGAUCUUCGGACCUCAUGCUCAUGGAGUGGCCGAUAUCUGAUUAGCUAGUUGGUGAGGUAAAGGCUCACCAAGGCGACGAUCAGUAGCUGGUUUGAGAGAACGACCAGCCACACUGGAACUGAGACACGGUCCAGACUCCUACGGGAGCAGCAGUGAGGAAUUUUGGACAAUGGGGCAACCUGAUCCAGCAAUGCCGC